rnacentral:rRNA from 1 species
GACGUAGGGCGCGAGCGUUGUCCGGAUUUAUUGGGCGUAAAGAGCUCGUAGGCGGCUUGUCGUGUCGACUGUGAAAACCCGCGGCUCAACUGCGGGCCUGCAGCCGAUACGGGCAGGCUAGAGUUCGGUAGGGGAGACUGGAAUUCCUGGUGUAGCGGUGAAAUGCGUAGAUAUCUGGAGGAACACCGGUGGCGAAGGCGGCAUCCUGGACCAAUAUUGACGCUGAGGAGCGAAA